rnacentral:rRNA from 1 species
GGGCCCGCACAAGCGGUGGAGCAUGUGGUUUAAUUCGAUGAUACGCGAGGAACCUUACCAGGGCUUAAAUGGGAGAUGACAGGGGCAGAGACGCCCUUUUCUUCGGACAUCUUUCAAGGUGCUGCAUGGUUGUCGUCAGCUCGUGCCGUGAGGUGUCAGGUUAAGUCCUAUAACGAGCGCAACCCCUACCGUUAGUUGCCAGCGAUUCAAGUCGGGGACUCUAACGGGACUGCCGGUGCAAACCGUGAGGAAGGUGGGGACGACGUCAAAUCAUCACGGCCCUUACGUCCUGGGCUACACACGUGCUACAAUGGUCGGUACAGAGGGAAGCUACCCCGCAAGGGGAUGCGGAUCUAUAAAACCGAUCUCAGUUCGGAUCGGGGUCUGCAACUCGACCCCGUGAAGCUGGAAUCGCUAGUAAUCGCAGGUC